rnacentral:tRNA from 1 species
AUUUAUAUAGUAUAAAUAAUUAUAAUUGAUUUCCAAUCAAAAGAUCUAAUAAAUUAGUAUAAAUA